rnacentral:rRNA from 1 species
UUGGGUUUAAAGGGAGCGUAGAUGGAUCUUUAAGUCAGUUGUGAAAGUUUGCGGCUCAACCGUAAAAUUGCAGUUGAUACUGGAUAUCUUGAGUGCAGUUGAGGCAGGCGGAAUUCGUGGUGUAGCGGUGAAAUGCUUAGAUAUCACGAAGAACUCCGAUUGCGAAGGCAGCCUGCUAAGCUGCAACUGACAUUGAGGCUCGAAAGUGUGGGUAUCAAACAGGAUUAGAUACCCUGGUAGUCCACACGGUAAACGAUGAAUACUCGCUGUUUGCGAUAUACUGCAAGCGGCCAAGCGAAAGCGUUAAGUAUUCCACCUGGGGAGUACGCCGGCAACGGUGAAACUCAAAGGAAUUGACGGGGGCCCGCACAAGCGGAGGAACAUGUGGUUUAAUUCGAUGAUACGCGAGGAACCUUACCCGGGCUUAAAUUGCAGAUGAAUUACGGUGAAAGCCGUAAGCCGCAAGGCAUCUGUGAAGGUGCUGCAUGGUUGUCGUCAGCUCGUGCCGUGAGGUGUCGGCUUAAGUGCCAUAACGAGCGCAACCCUUGUUGUCAGUUACUAACAGGUUCCGCUGAGGACUCUGACAAGACUGCCAUCGUAAGAUGUGAGGAAGGUGGGGAUGACGUCAAAUCAGCACGGCCCUUACGUCCGGGGCUACACACGUGUUACAAUGGGGGGUACAGAGGGCCGCUACCACGCGAGUGGAUGCCAAUCCCCAAAACCUCUCUCAGUUCGGACUGGAGUCUGCAACCCGACUCCACGAAGCUGGAUUCGCUAGUAAUCGCGCAUCAGCCACGGCGCGGUGAAUACGUUCCCGGGCCCUUGUACACACCGCCCGUCAAGCCAUGGGAGCCGGGGGUACAUGAAGUGCGUAACCGCGAGGAGCGCCCUAGGGUAAAACUGGU